ensembl:snRNA U6 U6 spliceosomal RNA
GUGUUCACAUUGGUAGCACACAUACUAAGAUUAGAAUGAUAUGGAGAAGAUUAGCAUGUCCCUGCACAAAGAUGGCACACAAAUUCAAGGAGCAUUCCAUAUUUUU